rnacentral:sRNA from 1 species
UUCUUAUGUUUUGGAGUCACACAAGCUAAAGACGGGCCAUUUUCCAGACCUCAUCCAGCUUACUGGAGGUUUUGGCUCUGCGUGAGUGUGGUCUACGAGCUGUUUCUCAUCUUUAUACUCUUCCAGAAUAUCCUGUCUCUUCGAGAAUGGAAUCAUGCGGUGGGCAGCCUCUUCCCGCCCUGCACAGUGCCUCUGAGGUUCACCCAGGAUCAUGGGGUGGGCAGCCUCUUCCCGCCCUGCACAGUGCCUCUGAGGUUCAUCCAGGAUCAUGGGGUGGGCAGCCUCUUCCCGCCCUGUACAGUGCCUCUGAGGUUCAUCCAGGUUGCAUGUGUCUUCCUGCGCUCCUCUUUCUUUUACUAUUUAUUUUUUGAGACGGCGUCUCACUCU